rnacentral:rRNA from 1 species
UACGAAGGGGGCUAGCGUUGUUCGGAAUUACUGGGCGUAAAGCGCGCGCAGGCGGUUUUCAAGUCAGUGGUGAAAGCCCGGAGCUCAACUCCGGAAAUGCCAUUGAAACUGUAAAACUUGAGGACGAGAGAGGUGAGUGGAAUUCCCAGUGUAGAGGUGAAAUUCGUAGAUAUUGGGAAGAACACCGGUGGCGAAGGCGGCUCACUGGCUCGUUUCUGACGCUCAGGCGCGAUAGCGUGGGGAUCAAACAGG